rnacentral:ncRNA from 1 species
CCUUAUUAAGAGUGGCUGAGGGAAUAGGCCCAAAGACGCCCGGCAACCUAGGUGCUUGUAAGCAUAAAAGGUGCUAAAUCCUACAGAAUCUAAAAAUUCUGAAAGAUGAGG